rnacentral:rRNA from 1 species
GAUGAACGCUAGCGGCAGGCUUAAUACGUGCAAGUCGUGGGGCAGCAGGACUGUAGCAAUACAGUUGCUGGCGACCGGCAAACGGGUGCGGAACACGUACGCAACUUACCCUGAACUGGGGGAUAGCCCGGGGAAACCCGGAUUAAUACCCCGUAAUAUAAUGGAGUGGCAUCACUUUAUUAUUAAAGCUCCGGCGGUUCGGGAUGGGCGUGCGGCUGAUUAGGUAGUUGGUUGAGGUAACGGCUCACCAAGCCUACGAUCAGUAACCGGUGUGAGAGCACGACCACUCAUACGGGCACUGAGACACGGGCCCGACUCCUACGGGAGGCAGCAGUAAGGAAUAUUGGGCAAUGGAGGCGACUCUGACCCAGCCAUGCCGCGUGGAGUAUGAAGGCCCUCUGUGUUGUAAGCUUCUUUUAUAGUUGACGAAACCUGUGUAUUCUUACGCAGUUGACGGUACCCUAGGAAUAAGCACCGGCUAACUCCGUG